rnacentral:rRNA from 1 species
GACGAACGCUGGCGGCGUGCCUAAUACAUGCAAGUCGAACGCUGAAGGAGGAGCUUGCUCUUCUGGAUGAGUUGCGAACGGGUGAGUAACGCGUAGGUAACCUGCCUGGUAGCGGGGGAUAACUAUUGGAAACGAUAGCUAAUACCGCAUAAGAGUAGAUGUUGCAUGACAUUUACUUAAAAGGUGCAAUUGCAUCACUACCAGAUGGACCUGCGUUGUAUUAGCUAGUUGGUGGGGUAACGGCUUACCAAGGCGACGAUACAUAGCCGACCUGAGAGGGUGAUCGGCCACACUGGGACUGAGACACGGCCCAGACUCCUACGGGAGGCAGCAGUAGGGAAUCUUCGGCAAUGGACGGAAGUCUGACCGAGCAACGCCGCGUGAGUGAAGAAGGUUUUCGGAUCGUAAAGCUCGGUUGUAAGAGAAGAACGAGUGUGAGAGUGGAAAGUUCACACUGUGACGGUAGCUUACCAGAAAGGGACGGCUAACUACGUG